ACGGCUUACCAAGGCUAUGAUCUAUAGCUGGUUUGAGAAGAUGAUCAGCCACACUGGAACUGAGACACGGUCCAGACUUCUACGGGAGGCAGCAGUGGGGAAUAUUGGACAAUGGGCGCAAGCCUGAUCCAGCCAUGCCGCGUGAGUGAUUAAGGUUUUAGGACUGUAAAACUCUUUUAGUGGGGAAGAUUAUGACGGUACCCACAGAAAAAGUCCCGGCUAACUCCGUGCCAGCAGCCGCGGUAAUACGGGGGGGCAAGCGUUGUUCGGAUUCAUUGGGCGUAAAGAGUAUGUAGGCUGCUUAUCAAGUUAGGAGUGAAAUCCCAGAUCUUAAGUCUGGAACUGCUCCUAAAACUGUUAGGCUAGAGUUGAAGAGAGGAUAGUAGAAUUCCUAGUGUAGAGGUGAAAUUCGUAGAUAUUAGGAGGAAUGCCAGAGGCGAAGGCGACUGUCUGGAUUCAUACUGACGCUGAGAUACGAAAGUGUGGGGAGCAAACAGGAUUAGAUACCCUGGUAGUCCACACUGUAAACGAUGAGUGCUAGGUGUUGGGACUAUAUUGUCCCAGUGUCGUAGCUAACGCGUUAAGCACUCCGCCUGGGGAGUACGG
rnacentral:rRNA from 1 species